UACGUAGGGCGCAAGCGUUGUCCGGAAUCAUUGGGCGUAAAGGGCGCGCAGGCGGUUCUGUAUGUCUGCCGUGAAAGCAUACAGCUCAACUGUAUUGUGUCGGUAGAAACUGCAGGACUUGAGGCUGGGAGGGGCUGGUGGAAUUCCCUGUGUAGCGGUGAAAUGCGUAGAGAUGGUGGAGAACACUCGUGGCGAAGGCGGCCAGCUAGACCAGUUCUGACACUGAGGCGCGACAGCGUGGGGAGCAAACAGG
rnacentral:rRNA from 1 species